rnacentral:lncRNA from 1 species
ACGAAUAUGUGCAUUGCAUAUUAUGUUUGAUGAUGUGGAUGGAUGUUGAAUGAUCCAUUAGUCCCCCUAUGCUAUGAUGAUGAUGAUACGAUACGGAAGACCAGUGAGGCCCAUUCUACGCCCCUGGCACAGUUGGACCAUGUUAUGUUAUGUUAUGUAAGAGAAAGACCAGUGAGGCCCAUUCUACGCCCCUGGCACAGUUGGUCCAUGUAGGGGACUAUUGGUGACAAGUUCAUCCUUGAUGUGAUUAGCUGUGAUGUGAUGCAUUUCAUGUUAUCAUAUGUUUUAAAUGUUUUACUAUUCUGCUCACUGGGCUUUGUAGCUCACCCC